rnacentral:lncRNA from 1 species
GUUGAAUUAUGGUACGGGUACUUGGAAGUGGAUUUCAGUAAUGAGUCAUGGCGGGGUUGUGCUACCCGCGGUUUUUGAUAAAUUGAUGGAGUAGUUGUGUUUUAUGGUAUUAUUGGUUGUAUUCUUUUGUGUACUCUCCGGUGGUAUGGGACGCCGUGAUGAUUUCUUUGUUUUGCUCUCUUUCGUGUACUUCCCGACGGUAUGGGACGUCGUGGUAAGUUCUUGUGUGUAUGUUCUAAAGAUUGUUGAUGAUGAUUAUGGCAAGUAGAUGUUUUG